AGUGGCGGAGAGAUACUCGAAGCGGGAGGUUGUGUCUCUCCUCGUCGACUGACACACACACACACACUCGCCUCCAUUACGCCAUUAACUUUAUACCUGAAUUAAGGAAGAAACGUGACUCUGAUAAAGAAGGAGACAAGGAAAUCCCAAUAAAAAUAAGAACUAAGACUUUAUUUUGAUAUAUUUCAUUGAAAGAGAGUACGAAACGGGUGAAAAUAGUGAAUAAAUGGAUAAAUACGGGAAAGAUAAGAAAGAAUAUGAAAAGAUAGGAAAAAAAGACAAAGAAGAUUAAGACAUAAGAAAAUAAGAAAAGAUAAGAAAAUCAUAUGAUUAAAAGAAAGUAAGAAAAAAAA